rnacentral:rRNA from 1 species
UACGUAGGGGCCUAGCGUUGUCCGGAAUUAUUGGGCGUAAAGAGCUCGUAGGCGGUUCGGCAAGUCGGAUGUGAAAUCCCCGGGCUUAACCUGGGAAUGGCAUUGGUGACUGCACGGCUAGAGUGUGUCAGAGGGGGGGUAGAAUUCCACGUGUAGCAGUGAAAUGCGUAGAGAUGUGGAGGAAUACCGAUGGCGAAGGCAGCCCCCCUGGGAUAACAACUGACG